GACGAACGCUGGCGGCGUGCUUAACACAUGCAAGUCGAACGGAAAGGCCCUGCUUUUGUGGGGUGCUCGAGUGGCGAACGGGUGAGUAACACGUGAGUAACCUGCCCUUGACUUUGGGAUAACUUCAGGAAACUGGGGCUAAUACCGGAUAGGAGCUCCUGCUGCAUGGUGGGGGUUGGAAAGUUUCGGCGGUUGGGGAUGGACUCGCGGCUUAUCAGCUUGUUGGUGGGGUAGGGGCUUACCAAGGCUUUGACGGGUAGCCGGCCUGGGAGGGUGACCGGCCACAUUGGGCCUGAGAGACGGCCCAGGCGCCUACGGGAGGCAGCGGUGGAGAAUAUUGCACAAUGGGCGGAAGCCUGAUGCAGCAACGCCGCGUGCGGGAUGCCGGCCUUCGGGUUGUAAACCGCUUUCGCCUGUGACGAAGCGUGAGUGACGGUACUUGGUAAAGAAGCACCGGCUAACUACGU
rnacentral:rRNA from 1 species